rnacentral:rRNA from 1 species
UGGGGAAUUUUGGACAAUGGGCGAAAGCCUGAUCCAGCAAUGCCGCGUGUGUGAAGAAGGCCUUCGGGUUGUAAAGCACUUUUGUCCGGAAAGAAAUCCUUGGCUCUAAUACAGUCGGGGGAUGACGGUACCGGAAGAAUAAGCACCGGCUAACUACGUGCCAGCAGCCGCGGUAAUACGUAGGGUGCAAGCGUUAAUCGGAAUUACUGGGCGUAAAGCGUGCGCAGGCGGUUUGCUAAGACCGAUGUGAAAUCCCCGGGCUCAACCUGGGAACUGCAUUGGUGACUGGCAGGCUAGAGUAUGGCAGAGGGGGGUAGAAUUCCACGUGUAGCAGUGAAAUGCGUAGAGAUGUGGAGGAAUACCGAUGGCGAAGGCAGCCCCCCGGGCCAAUACUGACGCUCAUGCACGAAAGCGUGGGGAGCAAACAGGAUUAGAUACCCUGGUAGUCCACGCCCUAAACGAUGUCAACUAGUUGUUGGGGGAUUCAUUUCCUUAGUAACGUAGCUAACGCGUGAAGUUGACCGCCUGGGGAGUACGGUCGCAAGAUUAAAACUUAAAUGAAUUGAC